rnacentral:rRNA from 1 species
UACGGAGGAUGCGAGCGUUAUCCGGAUUUAUUGGGUUUAAAGGGUGCGUAGGCGGGUUAUCAAGUCAGCGGUAAAAUCGUGGAGCUCAACUCCAUCCAGCCGUUGAAACUGAUGAUCUUGAGUGGGCGAGAAGUAUGCGGAAUGCGUGGAGUAGCGGUGAAAUGCAUAGAUAUCACGCAGAACUCCGAUUGCGAAGGCAGCAUACCGGCGCCCGACUGACGCUGAAGCACGAAAGCGUGGGUAUCGAACAGG